rnacentral:tRNA from 1 species
ACUAUAAUAAUUUAUAUUAAAAUUUUGAUCUUGUAAAUCAAAUAAGAACUCUCUUAUAGUA